rnacentral:RNase_P_RNA from 2 species
AAAGCAGGGUAUGUGAUCGCUGCCGUAUGCAAGGGAGCCGCUUUGCGGCGCAGAACCUUGCCAAGAGGAAGGCUUUGCCGAACCUCAGAAUACGGGAGAGGAAAGUCCGGGCUUCACAGGGCAGGAUGCCGGCUAACAGCCGGUGGAGGCGACUCCCAGGAAAGUGCAACAGAAAUAUACCGCCGGGGGAACCCGGUAAGGGUGGAAAGGCAGUGUAAGAGACUACCGUGCGGCUGGUAACAGGCGCAGCCAUGUAAACCCCAUCCGAAGCAAGACCGAGCAGGAGCGAUGACGCGGCCCGCCAGCUCCGGGUUGGUUGCUCGAGGCGGCUGGCAACAGCCGUCCUAGAUAGAUGAUCACACAAGACAUAACCCGGCUUAUCGCCCUGCUUUCUAU